rnacentral:rRNA from 1 species
GACGAACGCUGGCGGCGUGCUUAACACAUGCAAGUCGAACGGUAAGGCCCUUCGGGGUACACGAGUGGCGAACGGGUGAGUAACACGUGGGUGAUCUGCCCUGCACUUCGGGAUAAGACUGGGAAACUGGGUCUAAUACCGGAUAGGACCACUGCCUGCAUGGGUGGUGGUGAAAGCUUUUGCGGUGUGGGAUGGGCCCGCGGCCUAUCAGCUUGUUGGUGGGGUGAUGGCCUACCAAGGCGACGACGGGUAGCCGGCCUGAGAGGGUGACCGGCCACACUGGGACUGAGAUACGGCCCAGACUCCUACGGGAGGCAGCAGUGGGGAAUAUUGCACAAUGGGCGCAAGCCUGAUGCAGCGACGCCGCGUGAGGGAUGACGGCCCUCGGGUUGUAAACCUCUUUCAGCACCGACGAAGCGCAAGUGACGGUAGGUGCAGAAGAAGGACCGGCCAACUACGUGCCAGCCGCCGCAGUAA